UUAAUUUUAUUACUUUUUCGUCAUUCUUCUGGAAUGCCUUUUCAUAUUCUGAAAUAUGAGUUGUAUGAUUCCUCCGUCCAUGCUUUUCUUGCAUAUAAUUUGGAAAUCUCAUUGAUAAUCGUUAUCAUCGACAAGCAUGCUUAUCCAAUCGCUCCAUCAUUAAUUGAUUUCUUUUCCUAUUCACUUAUAAGUUGCCAACCUCUACACGUGAAUAUGCAUUUCUAACAAGAUUUUUUUAGAUUUUCGCUGAAAGAUGAAGAAAGUUCACAGUACAUCGCUCCUCUAUCUAGAGCUUGGGAAAGUUGUAUACGCUCCUUCAGUAGGAAGCUAACUGCAUCUGAUACUGGCGCACAUUGUGAAUUCUUCGUACCAAGAAAAUGUGCUAACGAAUUAUUUCCGCCUCUGAUUAGUCUUUGAUCAUCUUCUCCAUAAAACCACCUGAUGAUAAUGUUUUCUUGAAUCGACAUGUCUCGGCAUCUCCCUUCACAGGACCUGGUUGUCAAGGAUUUGCACGAGACAGAAUGGCAAUUCCGCCACAUAAAUCGUAGUAUUAGAGAGGAUCUCUUUAUGGAAUUUAAUUGAUAGUUGCAACAUUUAUAUGUAAUGGGCGGCCAACCUUACUUGAUAGUUGACGAUUCUUAAGUGACACGAGAAUCUCGUGAUUUCUUUUUUAGUUUCUUUACUUUUAGUGCACGUUUAGUGCACAACACUAGAAAUGAGUUAGUAUAAUAAACAAAAUUAUAUUUCUUUUCUUCCUUAAUACUGCUUAGUACUCUCUAAUCAUCAUUACUAAACAUGCUACAAGUGGCUGAUGUUUAGCUUAUCUUCUUUUCCACCCUUUCUAAAUACAGGUCAGCCAAAGUGUCUCUUGCUCGGCAGUGGUUGGAGCAGUUUCUUGAAUUCGAAGAAGCUUGUUGCACGGGAUACUUGCAUAUUCUUCAGGUUUUCUCGACCUUCUGGACCUUCCACUCUCUCUACCCUUCCUUAUAGGCUUUUUCAUGUUUCACAGGGGUAAAACUAGCAAACUCUUUGUUGGGGUCGCUGUGCAAACCUGGAAAGCAAUAUGUUAGCAUCUCUGUUAUCGAGUCAAAGCAUCCAAAAUGGGGUCCUAGUUUACACUUUCCAUGCAAUUUCUACAGAAAGCUUGUUUAAGGAGCAUUAUUAUCCUUGGCGGCUGAAAUUGAUUAAAGUUUUAGGACGAGAUUAAAAUGCAGUUUGAAAGAUCAUAGGGAUUCCGAGUUGAAAGGAGUGCAAAAUUUGGGGGUAUAUCAUUGGCAUCAAAGAUAUUGACCAUAUCAGAUGGCCAGGGUCCUAUUGCAGAUUUAUCAAGAAGAUGCUGCUAUUUGUCCCGACAGGGUUUCUCCGUGGAGCAUUGAAGUUGUUGAAAUAUACAAGAGCAGGCAAAAAACUGUUCUAUCAGAUGUAAAGAAGGCUCGACCUUUUAAUAUAUUGUUUCCCUUCUCUGUGAAGGAUGGUAAGCCUGAUAAUGGUUUUAUUUCAAAAAUUAAUUUACAAAAAAUUAAAUUUACAUUUUCUUUUUUUUUUUACAGUAAGUAAACAAAGAAAAAAAAUUAAUUUUUGGACUGCUAAAAGUUGUAAAUUCUGUACUGGGAAUAUGCUACCAAAGCGUAAGCUAGUGAUACUUACGGUUACUGGAGUUUUGCCAUAUAGGGUGCAAGCGUGCAGCAUUCGUGCUGCUUCACCUGAAAAAAGAAGUUGCUUUUGGAGAACUUCAAACAUGUUUGGCAAAAAAUUUACUUAAAACUAACUUUUAAUUAGCCAAACAUGCUGACAUUUGUUCUACUCUCACUCAUUAUUACGCCUAAACGAUCAAAUUCAUCCUUCAUAUCCUCAAAAGGCUUAACAAAGAACUCCAUCGAGCAUAUACGUCAUGGACACUUAGGGGUCUUGCAAGGUCAAGAAUUCGGAACUGUUGACGCUUACAAUCAGCAAACAUCAGCACGGUUUGCCCAUUUCACAUUUGAGCCUGAAAUCAUUUUGUGGUUGGGGAGAGAAGCACAUUGUGUUGGAUAAUCAACAUCAACUUGAGAUUCAUAAUCGUCAUGAAAGCACCAUAUCCAUCUCUCGUGGUGUUUCUACGAAUUUGGACAUUGCUAUUUCCCCGUGCUCCUCCAACAUUUGCUCCACGUGCAACCGAAUAUGGUAAUGAAGCGGAAAAAGUUAAUGGAGUAUGGAACUGCUCUUAGAAGAUCCAUUGACCUAGCACGUUUCAAUUGUUAUGGAGAACUUGUGUCUGAGCUUGACAAGAUAUUUGAAUUUAAUGGUGCCCUCAUUGAUGGGAGCUCUAACUGGCACCUAAGCUACACUGAUGGUGAAAUUGAUAAAAUGUUCCUGGAAGGAAUUCUGGGCCAUAGUCAAGAAGAUGUUUAUCUGUCCUAAGGACUUUGCUCAUUCUGCACAUGCAAGGGCACCGGUUUGACUCUGUUUCACUGCAUAGAUAUGAUCAGGCUAUGUCUGUCCAUAAUGCACCAGAAAUAAUGGGUGAAUAAGGACACCCUUGGAUGUUGUAAUAAAACGAUGUCUGGAUGUUAUAGUUUGUAAACAAUGACUUACAUUCUUAUGUAAGCAGUCCCUUUUCUUAUCCUCCUCCCCCUCUUUGCAUGCUCAAGUUUGUGGAGGCAUCUUAUCUGGUUAGUUUUGCUGAGAUAAUGUACAGUUUGGUCGAAUGAAGUCAACAAGAUUGAUGAGCAUAUCCAUCUAGCAGUGCCCCCAAAUGAAGAACCAAGCAGCAUUUCUUCGAUUUUUUGGAUGUAAGCUUUUCACUGAGAUAUUCAUUUGUGUAACCAUAUGAUUCCAAGUCCCAUUGAUGAACUUGGAAUUCAAUGUUUAAAGGCAGAGAAAUGAUAUUAUA